rnacentral:rRNA from 1 species
UUAACUCUUUCCAAAAAAGAAGGUGGUUUGGGAUACAAGCAUCUCCAUGUGUUCAAUCUGGCCAUGCUCGCUAAACAAGCGUGGAGAUUGUUAGAACACCCUGCUUCACUUUGUGCUCAAGUUCUCAAAGCGAAAUAUUUCCCUGAAACUGACAUACUGCAUGCUACACCCAAAAGGGUAUGUCGUAUGUGUGGCAUAGUAUCUUACAGGGAAUUGAAGUGGUUAAGAAGGGAGUCAUCAAGCGUGUCGGUGACGGCUCAACAGUGA